GAUCAUGGCUCAGGAUGAACGCUAGCUACAGGCUUAACACAUGCAAGUCGAGGGGCAGCGGGAUUGAAGCUUGCUUCAAUUGCCGGCGACCGGCGCACGGGUGAGUAACGCGUAUCCAACCUUCCGUACACUCAGGGAUAGCCUUUCGUAAGAAAGAUAAUACUGAUGGUAGUGAUGAGAUUGUCAUGGUAUCAUCAUUAAAGUAAUUUAAUUCGGUGUACGAUGGGAGUGCG
rnacentral:rRNA from 1 species